CCCCCUACUCCCUCCCCACAGGUGAUUCUAAUGAGUGGCCAAGGUUAAGAACCCCCGCUGAGAUGGUGUGAAGGCACCAAUCACCAAUAACUCUGGGUGGGGGCACAGGUGGUUCUCCCAACCCUGAAGGUUUAAGAAGAAGAUGGGACCUUGCCCUAGGGAGGCACUCUCCAGCUGCAAAGAAGAGGUUAACUCAUGUUAGCAUCUGGCUGAGUCCUAAGGGAAGAGGAUGACACAGGGCAGAAUCGAAAGACCACCUGCAUCCCUUUGCUUAUGGCCCCUUCCUUAAAUCACACCAAACUCCUGCUCCCAUCGUCAUAUCUGCUCCUGAGUCUGACCCUCCCCCUUCCUGUGAGGAUGCUUGGGAUUAUAUUGGGCUCCAGAUGAUCCCCAUCUCAAGCCUCCAGUGGCAGGAGAGCCCCCUAGAGCCCAGCUGGUGUCCCACUCAGGAGGGCACACAGGUGUGGCUGAGUCCAAGUGUGUGGGAUAUGGGGGCUGCACCACAGGGUGCAAGAGUGCGAGAGAGUGAGCUGGCCUGGAUGUUCUGACAAAGACUAAGGAUCCCAUAAGCAUAUACGUUCCUCAAGGCGGCAGGUUUACCUCGCAGAACGCAGUAGCCUGAGGUUCUGGAUUGCAGACUGCCUGGGUGUCAGUCACUGCCCUGGCCGGCUGGGGGCCUUGGGCACGUCACCUCCCCUUCCUGCACCUUGACUUCCCUCGCCUGUGAGAUUGGCUUUUAUAAUGCCCACCAGAGCCCCUUUGCUUCUGGUCAGAGCCCCCCUCCCCUCACAGGGGCAUGCCCUUGUGCACAUUCCCCUGAAGGCUGGUCUCCAGGUGCACACUGAGAGGGGACCCAGGGAAGAAGAGUGUGGCCUCUCUGGGGAUGUGUAGGGCCACCAGGAACAGACACACUUGGGGUCCCUUAAGUCAUCAGGGCGUCCUUGCAAGGAAAGAAGAAAGGAAGCAAAUGGGAGUCUCGACCUCAAAAUCAGCAGCAGGAGCUGGGAAGGCUGUUCAGGACAGCGUGCAGUGCUAGUGCUCCCCUCAUCGUUUGGCCCCCUUGGAAGUGGGCGUCCAUUUCUUUUGAUUUGAGAGCUUUGUCUUUCCGGAAAUUCACUUCCUGUUCGUUUUUGCUUCUCUCUUCCUUCCCACGCCUAUUAGCUGCUCUCCCUUCUCCUCUCUGACCAGCGGCUUCUGCUGCUUUUCAGCCUCUGCUCCCACCACCAACUGCUUCCCUCGGUCUCUGUGCCAUAUUUUCAUUGCAGAGGCCAGACCCUCUGCAGCCUUCAGCAACAUUGAUGUCGUGAAAGGGAAAGAGGUGGAGGGACUGGUCCAGAAGAAAGGAGACUAAAGAGACAUGACAACCGAGUGGAAUAUGGGAUCCUGGGCUGGAGGGAAACAGUGCUGCAAAGAACAUUAGUGACAAACUGGCUAUGGAUGGGAGAGCAGUUAAAAUACUGUGUCGAUGUUAAUUUCCCUCAUUUGCUAAUUGUGCUGUAGUUGUGUAAGACAAUGACCUUUGAUCUUAGCAAAAACACACUGAAGUAUGAAGGGGUAAAGGGGCAUGAUUUAUGCAACCUCCUCUCAAAUGGUUCAGAAAAAAUUAGAUAAUAAUAUGCGUUUUUAAAAGAGGUCUCCAAUGACUCUCUUCUUGCUAAAUUC
ensembl:lncRNA